rnacentral:tRNA from 1 species
GGGGAUGUAGCUCAGUGGCAGAGCACAUGCCUAGCAUACAUACGAGAGAUCCUGAGUUCUACCCUCAGCACUACCA